rnacentral:rRNA from 1 species
UGGGGAAUAUUGGACAAUGGGCGCAAGCCUGAUCCAGCCAUGCCGCGUGAGUGAUGAAGGCCUUAGGGUUGUAAAGCUCUUUCGCCGACGAAGAUAAUGACGGUAGUCGGAGAAGAAGCCCCGGCUAACUUCGUGCCAGCAGCCGCGGUAAUACGAAGGGGGCUAGCGUUGUUCGGAAUCACUGGGCGUAAAGCGCACGUAGGCGGAUUGUUAAGUCAGGGGUGAAAGCCUGGAGCUCAACUCCAGAACUGCCCUUGAUACUGGCAAUCUCGAGUCCGGAAGAGGUAAGUGGAACUGCGAGUGUAGAGGUGAAAUUCGUAGAUAUUCGCAAGAACACCAGUGGCGAAGGCGGCUUACUGGUCCGGUACUGACGCUGAGGUGCGAAAAGCGUGGGGAGCAAAACAGGAUUAGAUACCCUGGUAGUCCACGCCGUAAACGAUGGAGGCUAGCCGUUGGCGAGCAUGCUCGUCAGUGGCGCAGCUAACGCAUUAAGCCUCCCGCCUGGGGAGUACGGUCGCAAGA